GAUGAACGCUAGCGGCAGGCCUAAUACAUGCAAGUCGAGGGGUAGAAGAGGCUUGCUUCUUUGAGACCGGCGCACGGGUGCGUAACGCGUAUGCAACCUACCUUCAUCUGGGGGAUAGCCCGGAGAAAUCCGGAUUAAUACCGCAUAAAAUCACAGGAUGGCAUUAUCCAAUGAUCAAACAUGUAUGGGAUGGAGAUGGGCAUGCGUGUCAGUAGCUAGUUGGCGGGGUAACGGCCAACCAAGGCGACGAUGACUAGGGGAUCUGAGAGGAUGGCCCCCCACACUGGUACUGAGACACGGACCAGACUCCUCCGGGAGGCAGCAGUAAGGAAUAUUGGGCAAUGGAGGCAACUCUGAACCAGCCAUGCCGCGUGCAGGAAGACUGCCCUAUGGGUUGUAAACUGUUUUUAUUCGGGAAUAAACCCUAUUACGUGUAAUAAGCUGAAUGUACCGAAGGAAUAAGGAUCGGCUAACUCCGUGCCAGCAGCCGCCGUAA
rnacentral:rRNA from 1 species